rnacentral:lncRNA from 1 species
CCCCAACCAUGACUGAUCGUAUCGAAGGACCGAAUGCGAAGCGUAGAUAAACUUGAAAUCGACAAUGUGGCACUUCAACCACUGGCACCCAGCGAAACAUGCCGAAGUAACGGAUGGCAACUCAAACAUAGCAGGCAUAAGAAAUCACAGCACAACUAGGGAUAGACAAACCAUAGAUAGAUGCAUUCAAAGUUGGAUCAAAAACUCAUGGGGUGGUUCGGCACAUAACUAACAACACAAUGCUUAGCUGACAAGCACUUUGACAAGUCUAUUAGGUUCUACAGAUAUGAAAAACAGACACAGGAGAAUGUCGCCGCCAGCUUCACAAACUUGAGAUGAUCUAUUUCUUCUUAUCAGUGUGAGUACCAGCCGACCUGCAAUCCCCAAAGAAAAGUUAAAUUAGAGAUGUCCACAAUAUGCACAAUGCUUCAGAAACCAUACUAACAAGUAUACACAUGCCAGGACGGAAAUCUCUAGUAGUGGUAUUAUAAUAACAAGGCAACAAAAUGUUUAAUAAUACUAUGUCACUCAGGAGAUGGUAGAAAACUAUGACAUGAAAAAUCAAACUACAAGCUGUUUUUGCACACUACACCCAUUAAGGUUACAUGUUGAAGGGUCAUAUAUACUAAUGAAUUAGCAUAUAGCAAACACUGCUUAGUAGAGCCGAUCUUUAAAAAACACAUUAUGACAUAAGCAACUGAUGUAACCCACAUUAGAAAGCAUAUAGUCAAAUGAAACAGAAGACAAGCCAUUAUAAUGCUGCAUAGAAGUUAGCAGAAUAAGGUUUCAGGUUUACACACCUCAUCUUCCUGAGGACAUUCGCCAUCUCCUCUCUCUUCUUCUUUGCCCUCUUGUGAGUUCCGAGCUUUCUCUUGGCAACCUUCAGAGCACGCUUGUCCUUACCAACCUUCAGAAGCUCAGUGAUACGCUUCUCAUAAGGAGCAAACCCAGCAACCUCUCUGAUCAGGCCCCUGACCAUGGUCACCCUCUUUGUUGCUUUCUGCAAAUCAUGGUAAUAACUUGUAAGGACAGAAAACGUGUCAUCCAGUGAAAAGGAUAAUCCUACCAAUAGAACAUGACACUGCUUAUAUACUAGUGUUUUUUGCAAGUGCAGACUGCAGACACAAAGCAAAAUCAUAGGCUCGUUUAAAGACAUAAAUGAAUCCACAGAUCUAAAACGGAGCAUUUGCUAGGCGCAUCACAGCAAAUUCAAUCGUCACAAAGUACAUGCUUAAAACAUUGAAUUGCUGACAAAAAAAAAUCUAGGGGGCACACCUAGCGUAACAGAAGCUAUAAUUUAUUUGCCACUAGUAGGAAAGGCAAUCUGUGGAAUAACAUAUUUCCUAACACUAGUAUUAGCAAUCAACAGUGCCAUAUGUUAAACAUAAACUUGAGCUUCCAAGCUGGUAUUGAAGAUCUGUAACUAUUUUGAAAAGUUGGGGAAAUUAAACAACUAAACACACAUGGCCUGAAAUGGUAAAAAACGCCCCCCAGGUUCAUCAACGGUCAAGCAUGACCCAACCAUCAAAUCACCACACUAGGCAACUGUAUGCAUGCAAAACUUCUACUCGACUAUCGACUAAUAAAAUCUACCCAGCUUGCUAAACCGAAAAGAUCCAACGCCUAAUCGCAGAAACACUACCAGCGUCAUCAACAUCGCAUCGCUAAGAAAGGUCAGAUCGGCUUACCCCCUUGCGGUGGGACGGGCGCGGCGGCAGCUCGCGCUUGGUGACGACAUGGCCCUUGUUGAUGCCCACGAAGAGGCCGGACUUCGGCUGCGGCGGCGCCAUGAGGACCAACCCUUUCCUGCGCACGCAGAAACAAGCGGAGAGAUCAGCUUCAGCGGAAGCAGAGGUGCGAGGGUUUCAGAUCGGCCGUGGCGGCGGCGGAAGGGAGGGCUUACCUUACCUGAAGCGAACCGUCUGCUACC